rnacentral:rRNA from 1 species
AUGGUGGAGGCCUUAGCUCUCAAAUUUGGCCUAAAUUUAGCGCAAAGGGCAGGAUGUAAUCGCCUAAUCAUCAACUCUGACAACCUGGAGGUGAUUGAGACCAUGCAGGACGGAGGACAGUCAGCGAGAGCGGCGGAGGCAAUCUUCGAUGACUGCUAUCACUAUGCUUGUGAUUUUAUCAUGACUAAAUUCGAACAUUGUAAUAGAGAGGCUAAUAAAAUAGCAUAUGAACUUGCUAGAUUAGCUAGAUUUUUUUCGACUUCGGAUUGGUUUGAGGAGCCUAUUAGUGAAAUUGUAACGCUUCCCAGAAACGAUGUAUUGGUUUUAAUUCAAAAAAAAAAGCCCGAACAGCAGCAGAUCGCCGAUUUUAUCGUGGGAGCAUCGUCCCAGUUUGUUUACCGCUCCCGAAGGGAUCGAAGGUGCAUCCGACGGCCAAGAUAG